UCCCUGGCAGUCCAGUGGUUAGGACUCGGCACUGUCACUGCCUAGGGCCCAGGUUCAAUCCCUGGUCAGGGAG